CCCUGGGACCGAGGAUGACCGCGGUGUUGAAUUUGAUAGAUUCGAUCGCGGCGACAGCGGCCAAAACAAAACACUAAUAUUGACAGGUUGUUGUACUAAUACUGACAUUUCAAGCAGAUGGCACUAUCAGUAUAGAGAUUCAAAAUGCCACAUAGAUUAAAUUACAGUCAUGAAUUCAAUUAAUUGAGCUUGAAGUCUUUCUGUUUGAAAUUUGGUCACGAAAAAAACCCAUGUAAAACUGUAAAACAAGUUGGUGUGUAAAUUAAACGAUGGUCCAGUUACAGUUUGCAGUCAACAUUUUAUAAACGUGUCCUUGCUACACAGAUGCGACUGUAGACGGCGGUGAAGUUCUCUAGCCGAUUUUGGGUCAACAGAAUCCCCAAACGCGUUGUAACGUAACAUUUCACAGUCUUUUACAGUACGUAUAAAUUUAGGCAUGCGAGGCCCAACUCGAAAUGAAUCAAUUCUAGUUAUAUUUACUUUAUAAUCUCGCAUUGCCACCCCUACAUAUGCGUCGUCUGUGUGAAAUGGUUUUCGUAUACAGACAUAAUUAAACAAUUUAUUGAGAAGGUCGCUGGAUAAAAUAAAGAACGCACCAGGAUUAAACCUUGGAAAGUGUGUCUCGUUAUAGUAUCUCCAACUAACUGUCCAUUUACCACUAAUUUCUCGAUUUACCCUGAUAGAAGGGUAGGUCAUCCCUCCGUAAAAUGGUCUUGGAAACUUAGCAUUGACAAGAUAUUCCAACACACGUGGUAUGCGCGCAUAAACAUCAUCCGUCUGUUUUCAUUGUAUAUUUUAUAUCAAAUGUACUUGCCCACACUUGACCCAUGUAGAACUUGCAGCGCCGAUCAUUUGUGCGCACGACGUUGACCACGCUUCACUGGUGUUUUCAUCGAUUUCACUCGAUUUGAUACGGCCCAGGAAUAUAAUUUCAGGCAGUCAUCGCUUUGGUAACUGUUAUUUUCCGUAUCUGAACUCGACGAAGA